rnacentral:rRNA from 1 species
GAUGAACGCUGGCGGCGUGCCUAAUACAUGCAAGUCGAGCGAACAGAUGAGGAGCUUGCUCCUCUGACGUUAGCGGCGGACGGGUGAGUAACACGUGGAUAACCUACCUAUAAGACUGGGAUAACUUCGGGAAACCGGAGCUAAUACCGGAUAAUAUAUUGAACCGCAUGGUCCAAUAGUGAAAGACGGUUUUGCUGUCACUUAUAGAUGGAUCCGCGCCGCAUUAGCUAGUUGGUAAGGUAACGGCUUACCAAGGCAACGAUGCGUAGCCGACCUGAGAGGGUGAUCGGCCACACUGGAACGGAGACACGGUCCAGACUCCUACGGGAGGCAGCAGUAGGGAAUCUUCCGCAAUGGGCGAAAGCCUGACGGAGCAACGCCGCGUGAGUGAUGAAGGUCUUCGGAUCGUAAAACUCUGUUAUUAGGGAAGAACAAAUGUGUAAGUAACUAUGCACGUCUUGACGGUACCUAAUCAGGAAGCCACGGCUAACUACGUG